rnacentral:lncRNA from 1 species
AUUUUUUUCUUCGUAGAGUUUUGGGAAGACUAAGGCAAUCGCUGCUGAAGUCAGUAUUGUAAUGGUGAAUCGGGAUUUUUAAUGAAGUGGGUUUGAAUACUCUUGACUGUUUUGUGAAAUCGAGUUACGUCUGUGAUUGAAGGAUUAAAAGGGUGUCUAUAGGAUUGAGUAUGCGGAGUGAAUGAAAUUUAUUGGGUUAAUCUAACAAGACAGUCAGUGGAUACAAGAUCGUAAGUACAAAGCGGUAUUGAAGAUUAACAGUUUGGGUUAUUUGGGGUUCUCUAUAACGUCUAGAGACCUACCGGCUGGGACAAAAAGGACUUCGACAAGUAGUCGAAGAGCAUCCGUAUAGAUUUACGGUACAUUGUUGCAGUCGUUUAUAUUCCAGCAGUCAAAACUGAUAGACUGCUUGA